rnacentral:rRNA from 1 species
CCUACGGGAGGCAGCAGUGGGGAAUAUUGGACAAUGGGCGCAAGCCUGAUCCAGCCAUGCCGCGUGGGUGAAGAAGGCCUUCGGGUUGUAAAGCCCUUUUGUUGGGAAAGAAAAGCAAUCGGUUAAUACCCGGUUGUUCUGACGGUACCCAAAGAAUAAGCACCGGCUAACUUCGUGCCAGCAGCCGCGGUAAUACGAAGGGUGCAAGCGUUACUCGGAAUUACUGGGCGUAAAGCGUGCGUAGGUGGUGAUUUAAGUCCGUUGUGAAAGCCCUGGGCUCAACCUGGGAAUUGCAGUGGAUACUGGGUCACUAGAAUGUGGUAGAGGGUAGCGGAAUUCCUGGUGUAGCAGUGAAAUGCGUAGAGAUCAGGAGGAACAUCCGUGGCGAAGGCGGCUACCUGGACCAACAUUGACACUGAGGCACGAAAGCGUGGGGAGCAAACAGGAUUAGAUACCCUUGUAGUC